GACGAACGCUGGCGGCGUGCUUAACACAUGCAAGUCGAACGAUGAAGCCGGAGCUUGCUCUGGUGAAUUAGUGGCGAACGGGUGAGUAACACGUGAGUAACCUGCCCUUGACUCUGGGAUAACUGCUAGAAAUGGUAGCUAAUACCGGAUACGACCCUCGGAGGCAUCUUCAGGGGGUGGAAAGAAUUUCGGUCAAGGAUGGACUCGCGGCCUAUCAGCUAGUUGGUGAGGUAAUGGCCCACCAAGGCGACGACGGGUAGCCGGCCUGAGUGGGUGACCGGGCACACUGGGACUGAGACACGGCCCAGACUCCUACGGGAGGCAGCAGUGGGGAAUAUUGCACAAUGGGCGCAAGCCUGAUGCAGCAACGCCGCGUGAGGGAUGACGGCCUUCGGGUUGUAAACCUCUUUUAGUAGGGAAGAAGCGAAAGUGACGGUACCUGCAGAAAAAGCACCGGCUAACUACGUGCCAGCCGCCGCCGCGG
rnacentral:rRNA from 1 species